rnacentral:lncRNA from 1 species
UCCAAAUUAUGGAGAGGCAAAUUAAUAUGAAAGAUUAUACAAAGAUCUAGUAAACACUUGAAGAAGAACACCAGAUAAAACAUCAAAAGAUUUUUGUUUUUAUCAAUGAACCUCUAACGUCUUAACUUGUGGUCCUAUGGAAGAGCAUUAAGUGUAUUAGUACCUGUUUGCAUAUAGCUUAAAACUCUUUAAAUGUUUUAUUUUUAUAUAAUUACAUAUUUGAUUUCUAUACUCUCUAAAUACUUCUAUCUCUGGAUAAAAUAAGGGAAACAUCUAAUCAAGUUAAAAACAAAGCUUUUCCUAUUUAACUUAAUUUCACAUCACUCAAAGCCAUGUGACUUAUUUCCUCAAAGAACAAAACAGAGGCCCGUAAUGCAGUCUGAAGUCAGAACAGCAGAGGGCGCUAGAGCAUGAAAUGACCUCUUUUUUCCAUUGCAUCUAUGAAUCCAUUCCCUUAUACUGGUUUUCAAAGAGGUUCAGAUCUUGAUAAAUUGUCUCCUACAUCAAAACAACUUUAAAGUUUCUGAGUUAAAAAAAAAAGGCAAAAAAACUGUUAACUGAAACAAGUCCUUAAUUAUCAAAUGAAAAACAAAAAUUUUCUUAUUCAUGAGUUUGCUUAUGUCUAUCACCCUAUGUGAGUAAGCGCAUUUUAAUGCUGUGUGGAAAUGAGAGGUUGUUACUAAAAUGGUUAAGUGGGGGCUCCAGUGGUGUUGCCAGGUGCCCACCUUUGGCCGAGUCAUGGGUUCCUAGGUUCUGAUUGUGUAACAAAUGAAACAGGACAUUUGUGUUAUUAGACUGCCUUAUCAAAACUUCAUUUCUAAACUAGUGAAUAACAUUCAACAGAAUAAAUCUAAUGCUAAAGGAAUUCCUUGUUAGGGAAGCUUUCAUCUUCAUUUACGACUUUAAAAAAAAUAUGUGACAAAAAUCCAUAGAGUGACUAUGUGUAGUCUGUGAUAGUUACUCUCCUCAUUGACAUGUCAAAAUUCUAACAAGAAACUAAGGAAGGGAGGGAGGAAGGAGGGAGGGGAAAGAAGGAGGGAGGGAAGGGUUUAUUCAGGCUCAGUUUUUGAGGGUACACUUUCUCCUGACAAGGAAGGUUAUAACAUUGGAAAUGGGAGGGCUGCUCUGCACACUCAGAGACACUGAGGAAACAGAAAGCUGUAAGUCCUAGUGUUUCGCACACGUUCCCUUUUUUAUACUGACCAGAACCCCAGGCCAUGAAAUGGUGCCACCCACAGAGAGAAUCUGCUCACCUCAAUUAAUUUAAUUUAUGUAUGCCCAAUGAUUUGUCUUUUGAAGUAUUCUAGAUUCUGUCUGGUUGGCAAUCAAUGUAAAUCAACAUACUGAAACCAAAUAUUCAUUCUGAUGGAAAUAUAAACAAUUGGAUGCUAAUUUAUUUUUAUUAUAUAUAUGUAUAUGUAUCUAUAUAUAUACAUACAUACACACAUACAUAUAUAUGUAUAUAUAUAUAAAUAUAUAUAAUAUUUAUAUAUAUAUAUUUAAAUGAUUGACUAAAGCAAAAAUGUAGCAAUGUGGCACUACACUGCAUAGAAGCAAAAUAAAGAUAACAUCUAAAGGUCAGGACACAAGAAAUACACAUAAAGUGUAAUAUCCCAAUAUCUUAACUUCAAUCAGGUUAGGAUUUUGCAGAGGGAUGUGACCACUUUAAGAUACAUGCUGUAAUUCAAAAGUAGAAGAAAUCUGUCUCUUCCUCCCUCGCUCCCCUGUCAGUGUGUGUGUGUGUUUAUGUAGUCAAUAGAAGUAAAUGGAAUUACAUAAUCUACAAUGAGGCAAGAAAGGAACAGUAAGAAAGAACAGACAGAAUCAAGCCAUUAGAAAAAAUAUUAAGAUGAUAGAUUGAUAGGGCAGGAGAGAUAGCUUAGUGAUUAAGGGCAGUUUCUGCUUUUGAAGAGAACCCAAGCUCAGGUCCCAGCACUGACUCACAGUGGCUCACAAUGCCAAUAACUCCAGUGCCAACAUUUUAUUCUUGAGAGCACCAUGUGGUACAUGUAUACACAUAUAGCCAAAACACGCAUACAAAUAAAAAUAAUUUUAAAGAAGAUGGUAGACUAAAAUAAAAUCAAUAGCAACAAUGAGUAUAAAACAGUCAAAUCUACCAAUUAAAAGACAGAGGUUGCAAUAUUGAAUAAAAAGUUUACACCCCUAACCUGGCCUGGUAUGCAGAUCACUAAUCCUAGUUUCCUGAAAACCAGAGGCAGAAGUUGGAUCAACAACUUCUUAACAUUUUCCCCCAAUGAUUUAGUGAGAACCCAUCUCAAAAUUAAAGCAACAAAAUGUCAGGGGAUGCAGCUCUGUGGUAGGCAGAUUGCCAACAUAUCCAUGAAUUCAGCACCCAGUACCAUC